CCGGGUGGCGACCGGCGCACGGGUGAGUAACGCGUAUGCAACUUACCUAUCAGAGGGGGAUAACCCGGCGAAAGUCGGACUAAUACCGCAUGAAGCAGGGGCCCCGCAUGGGGAUAUUUGCUAAAGAUUCAUCGCUGAUAGAUAGGCAUGCGUUCCAUUAGGCAGUUGGCGGGGUAACGGCCCACCAAGCCGACGAUGGAUAGGGGUUCUGAGAGGAAGGUCCCCCACAUUGGUACUGAGACACGGACCAAACUCCUACGGGAGGCAGCAGUGAGGAAUAUUGGUCAAUGGGCGUAAGCCUGAACCAGCCAAGUCGCGUGAGGGAUGAAGGUUCUAUGGAUCGUAAACCUCUUUUAUAAGGGAAUAAAGUGCGGGACGUGUCCCGUUUUGUAUGUACCUUAUGAAUAAGGAUCGGCUAACUCCGUGCCAGCAGCCGCGGUAAUACGGAGGAUCCGAGCGUUAUCCGGAUUUAUUGGGUUUAAAGGGUGCGUAGGCGGCCUUUUAAGUCAGCGGUGAAAGUCUGUGGCUCAACCAUAGAAUUGCCGUUGAAACUGGGGGGCUUGAGUAUGUUUGAGGCAGGCGGAAUGCGUGGUGUAGCGGUGAAAUGCUUAGAUAUCACGCAGAACCCCGAUUGCGAAGGCAGCCUGCCAAGCCAUGACUGACGCUGAUGCACGAAAGCGUGGGGAUCAAACAGGAUUAGAUACCCUGGUAGUCCACGCAGUAAACGAUGAUCACUGGCUGUUUGCGAUACAUUGUAAGCGGCACAGCGAAAGCGUUAAGUGAUCCACCUGGGGAGUACGCCGGCAACGGUGAA
rnacentral:rRNA from 1 species